AAGGAAGGAGGGGGAGAGGGGGAGGGGGAGGGGAGGGAGGGAAGGGCAGAAGGUGGAGCCUCCAGCGCUGUCCUUCAUCCCCAACACUCAGGGCUCCUCCGCCAGGCCCCCCCACCCCAGCUCCAGGCGCGGCUGUCCCAGGCCCGUCUUGGGGCCUGGGCAUAGUCAGGGAGGUGUAGGAGUGGGCGUGGUUAGGCCGGGAAAGCCAAAGGAUGCAGGUGGGCAGGGUCGGACCUGUCACCUGCAGGAAAAUUGGGCCCAACUGGGACCCCCAGCCUCUGCCUCAGGUGGCGGGAUGGGCAGGUGGCAAAGGAUUGGGGCUGGAUGAAGAGAACACAGGGGAAGGUUCUGUGGACAUGUGAGGGCGCCCGGCCUGUGCUGCUGGUUUAAGACGCUUAGGGAGGGCCUACUGUGAUCGGAGGGACGCUUCUUCUCAGCCUGCCUCACCUGCCUCCCAGCCUGACCCAGGCUACCCUCUGCCUCAGCUCAUAUGGGAGAGAAAGCGCACGCGGGUCCGUACCUGGAGAGGCAGGGGUGGCUGGAUACCUCCUGCCCAGGCCAGAGGCCCUAGCUCCAGCUCUGGGCCCUUCUCACCAGACACGCAGCGCUUGGAAGGGCUGGCCUGGCUCAAGGUAGAGGGAGGCAGGACUGAAGUUCCUAGGGGGCUGGCCGUGGGGCUGGGCUGGGGGGUCCUCUUCAGCUAGGUCUGAAAGGCUUUUGGAACCCCAACUCCCUCCACGCUGGGUUCAUGCUCUCUUGGUCUGCGGUGGGGAGAUUCUCAUUCAGGGUUGUCGUGAAUUCCCACACUCCCCACCCUUUCAGGGUGUCUCCCUCCCUGCCCGCCUCCCUCUCCCACCUCUCUGCCCACUUCUGUCCUCGGCCACCUCCCCAGUGGGGUCACCUCUCUCCCUUUUCUUUCCCGCCCAUCACCCAAGGCUCCUUUUCCUCUCCCCUUUCCCAGGGGCCAGGUGUCGAGGCAGAGGUUCGGGUGGGCGUGGAGGGGCACGUGGAGCCUGGGCCCGUGCGGGCGACCAUGUACACUCCUGAGCUCUGCGGCUGGGCAAGGCCUUAGGCCCAGCCCAAGGGAGUCUCGUCUGGAGUGGGGCUGCUAAGGGGGUCUAGGCAAGGCCUCAUGCUUGGGAAAGGCCAAGGGGGUGGAGGGGGGUGGGUAAUGGGACACAAUGAGGUAGUCACACGAGGCAAAGGCAUGUUGGGGGUGGGGGGAGCGGACAUUGGAACACACACACACACACAUGCUCGCACACACAACCAGUCAGACAAUCGGGCCAGUGUGUCUGGGGCCUCGGAGCCCAGUGAAUUAGGAGUUUGAUAAGGGUUUUCUCUUUCUCUCGCUUGCCGGCCUUGGACAAUCUCCCCCCAGUUUUCCUCGACGCCACCCCCGGCGCUGCCAACCCUCCUCCCCCCGCCUCCCUUCUCUUCCCUGUGCCCAGACUCUUGUUCGGGGCCUUGAAACAGUGAGCUGUCUUUGUUCGAAAUACAGGUGAACGGCAAUCAUGUGAUUAACACACACACACAUAAAAAGCUUUUUAACAGCGCCCGCCCGGCCUCAGAACCGCCCAGAGAGGAGCCGCCCUGGAUGGACAGAGGGACGGAGGGACGCGCAUCCAGCCGGUUGUGUCCAGCUGCCCGCAGCAGUCUCCGACACCCGCUGCUGUCCACCCGCGGCCCGCCUGCCCGGCAUCUCUCGAUCCCGGCCACACUGCAACAAGGAAGGGACGUCCUCGGGAGGAAAUGUGCUUCCUGUCCGCAGAAGGAGGCAAGUGGGGUCUGGUGGCCCUGGAACCCGGUCCAGCCAGCCUGAGGACCUGAAGCCAUAAGAUGUAAGGAUUCAGGGGAGUCCUCCCCGAGGCUGGGGUGGGCCAGGCUCUGGAGUUGGAGCAAGCAUGGGUCACUGGUCUGACCAGACCGAGGCAGCAGAAGCCAUGGCUCCAGUCCCCGGGUCCGAAGGCUGCUGGGACUUGGCCAAGCAGCCAUAUUGGGCCUCUGGACCUGGGAACCGCAGACCAGGCCUGGGAGACAGGAAAUCGCCCCGCUCAGGGCCCGAAAGUCCCCCUAGCAUACCCUCACUCCCUCCCCACCUCCCACAGUGGCCUCAGGCCCCUGCGCCCCGCGCCCAUGGGGUUAAAUCUCUCCCUGUCUCUCUCUGCUCCAAGUUGUUUUCCAAGUGAAGCAGAGAAUGGUUCUCUUGUUACCAACAUGGCUUCUGGGCAUUGGGUAAUGCGCUGCCUCUUCUCCCUGCUUCACUCCACAAAGGGACCUUUUGUUCCUCUCCCUGCCCCUCUCUCUGGCUCUUCCCCGGCCCCCCACCCACCCCGACUCCCUCCUCCCCGCCUCCCGCCCCACAGUGCACCCCUGGGCUGCGAGGAGUGACCGUGGUCUGGCCGCGGUGCCCUCCCUCUCCCGAGGCGCCCAGGGAGAGAAGGGGCCUUGUGGCCGCGGCGGCCAUUUUGAGAGCGGCCAUUCCGGGCGGCCCCUGGCUUCUUGAGAGCUUGCGGGGCUGGGGAAGCCAUAGCGGGGUGGCUGCGGCUCAACAGGAGGUCUCGCGGUGCACCUCCUAUUCUCUAGGGAGAAGGGGGACCCUCCCACCGGCCGCCCCCACCUGGGCCGCCUCCUUGCACGGAGACAAGACACCUUCCCCCUUUCCACCAUCUUGCUGGACCCGCACAGCAGCCCCCGAGGCGGGAGUGACCCCCGCCCUCGGCAGGUGGAGACUGAGGCUCCGUGGGGGGUCCUGCACAGCGGGCAGCAACAGGCUGAUGGCAACCGUGUUCAGAUGAGGAAACAGGCACGGGGGAGACACACUGCCAGGACUUGGCACUCACCCAGCCGGCUCCAGCUCUGCCUGUCCCUUCCCAGGGCUGCAGCCCACCCUUGUAGAGGCCCGGGGACUUGGGGAGGAGAUGUAGGUCGAUUGUGGCAGCCCCGGCCACCCGGUCUGCAAUCACAGGAGCCAGACCCUGAGGAGGCUGUGCUCAGGUGCCUCCAACACCCACCAAUUCGGCCAUCUCACUCUGUCCCCGCGUCUCCAGAGCCCUGAAACAGACCACCUGCACCGUGCCAGCAGGGGGCACUCACCUGUAACCAUCGAGUGGGGCAAGAAGAAGCAAGAAGAGGUAAAAUGGGUAGAUUGGGGAUGGAUGGAUGGGUGGAUGGCUGGGUGGGUGGGUGGGGGGGUUCAGGAAACAGACAGAGAAGGGAGAUUUAUUCAGAGUUGAAUGCAUCCCUGGGCCUGCCCUCAAGGAGCCACACUCUAGGAGGAGAGACAGCUCAGCCAAGAGCCAGCGUGCUGUAAGACAGGGCGCCUGCGAGCUCACCACUGGCUGGGAGGUUGAGGAAGGAAGGCUUCCUGGAGCAGGUGACCAAGGAUGGAACCUGAAAAGAUGAGGAUGAGUGAACUAGGCAAAGAAAUUGAGACAGAAGGUGGGAAGGGGCUGGCAUAAGGAGAAGGUGAGUGGAGUGUGAUGGGGGAACGGGCCAUACCCGCGUGCCAGAGCAGAGUGGGGGCAGGGAAGGUAGGAGAGGUGGCCAGGGGAGGAACUGUGUGGGCUGCCAAGGGUAGUCAGGGGGGCUCCUGAGGACUAGAAGGCCCCGAGAAGUUACAUGAACUAGAUCCUGAGGGCAGCAGGGUGGUCACUGAAGGAUUUUCAAGGGGUCAGGUUUGUGUUCUAGAAAGAUCAUAUGGGCUGGGUCUGUGCCAGUCUGGUUUAUUACUGUUUUCCCAGCACCCAGCUCAGUGCCUCACAUAUAGUAGGUGCUCAAUAAAUGUUUUGAAUCAAUACAUGAACACCAACAGUGUACUUCGAGGUCAUGGUUAACACUAGUUGUAGGACCCUGGGCUUCAGCUCCCUCAUUUGUGAAAUGGGGGUAAGGACACCUGUCUCCUGGGGGUGCCGAAAUGGUGAAGGGUUGGGGCUUGUGACGGGCUUUGUUCAGUGUCCCGCAUGGGGCCCACGCUCCAUAGCUGGUAGCUUUCUGCCUUGUGCACAGGGUAUGCCGGGGGGCGAGCCCGAGGCCAGGAGCAGGUGGAGAGGGGCGGGGUCACCCUGGCGUGGGGGCUAACACCAACGCUGAUCAAGGGCUUAAGCUCUUCGAGAAUUUUACUCUUACAACCCUCAAAACAAGCUAACGAAGAGGGCAUUAUGGUCACCCCUGUUUUAUUGUCCAGGAAGCCUGGCACAGAGAAGUGAAGUGAUUUGCCCAAGGCUGGGGGUGGGGAUUGAGUGGGACGGAAGGGCUCUGGACGCCAGAGCCCAGUGACCCCUGAGCUGGUGACAGUGGCAAUGGUCUGGGCAGCCACGGGGGGAGGCGGCCCAGUCUGAACGGUUGGACCAGGUGGGGGCAGGCAAGGGGCGGGGAGGGAGGCAUCAAGGCUGCCCCUCGUUUUCUGGCCUGGGUGACCCAGCAGAAGUUCAUUCCAUUUCCUGGGCAAGGGACACUGUGGGACGGGCAGGCUUGGGGAGGAAGAACACACGGAGUCUGGGUGGAGAGGCCCGGGAGGUCCGGCGUCUGGGGGAGAGGUCUGGGCUGGGGAUGUGGAUGAGGGCGAAACGGGCUCCUGGGGCAAGUGGGAGGCAUGUGGGGUGGGGGGGAGGGCCCCACCCCUGGAGCUGGUGGAGCAGAGAUCAGGUCGAGUUUGCUCUGUGCCAAGCAUCACCCUGAACCCUUGUGUUACCUUAUUAAAAUCCUCCCAACAGACCCUUCGAGGGGCACCAUGACCAUCCUCACUUCCCAACCCAGCAGACAGUGAGAGGUCCCAGCUGCCCCAGCGGCCAGGGCUGGGAUUGACCCAGGGCCCAAGCCCGGGUUGGGGAUGCGUGGAGAGGCUCUGAGGGCUGCCUGGGUGUGAGCCGAGGUGGGGGGCCCAGGCCUGCCUCAUUAUCUCCUUCAGUACCUGGGUCUGGUCACCUCCCCUCCCCAUGCCUCCGCCACCCCCAUGGGCCCAGGCCUGUCCCUGUGACGGAGGAAGCCAGCAGGGAGCGGGGGCCAGCUCUGCUCUGCUCUGUGGGGCCCGGUGGUGAGUGAGGGGCACGCGUUCUGGUCAAAGGGUGCAGAGCUGGAGGGCUGGUUGGGGUGAGCAGCAGGGGAGUAGGAAAGUUCUGGAUAUCGGGGCCUGGGGGGCUGGCAGGCAGAGAACAGUAAUUGUCCAGCUGCGCAUUAGGGACAGGGGCCGGGACAUGCUGGCCCAAACUGCCUGGUCCCCAAGCCUGGCUCCCAGCUGUGAGCUCAGGGAGUGGAGCGCGAGAGCUUGGUGGCGGGACGGUUGUGCCUCCAUCACUGCUGGGCGAGGCGCAGAGUCAGAGCUGAAGGCCCUGGGGAGCUCCCAGCCCACUAUGGAGGACUGAUGUUUUGCCUGAUGACAGACCCCUGAGAAAAGGGCUUCCAGGAAGGGGCUUGCCACUGCCGGCUUUGCAAGGUAUGUGGUGACCCCCGGGCCAGGCUUCAGUUUCUCGGGACAGGUAGCAGGCGGGGUGCCGGCAGGGGCAGUGGGUAGAAGUGACGGAGCUUUGGGAAAUGGUGGGUGAUCUGGCGUAGCCAGCUUAGGGGGUCCAGGAGACGAAGGGGGCUAGACGCGGGGAGAGGGGGCUCCCUUCUGUAGGCAGUGGGAGCCAGGGAAGACACGGGGGCUGGAAGAGCGGCUGGUUCUGUUAUGAGAGGAGGCACCGAGCUGGGAGCAGGCAGAGGGCGUCAGAGAAGACACGUUGCGUUGUCCCAUUGGGCGGAGGGUCAGCAGAGUAGCUCAGAGAGACAGGGAGAGAGUUUGGGGUGGCGGUCCCCUGCUAUGGAGCCUUUCCCAGAGCGGGCUCAGGGGCUGGGGGAGAAUGGAGGGGCCUUCAGCCAGGGCGUGUGGACAGCAGGUGUAGACAGGUCUUUGGGGAAGCUCGGCCAGGAAGGGGAGAUACAGGGCAGGCACUGAAGGGGGCCUUGAGGAUCAUGGGUUGUUCUUAGAAGAGACACUGGCGGUGCAUCGCGGAGGUGGGCUCCGUGGGGGAGGGGCUCCUGGAGUGGAGGUGGGGGGUCCUGAGCUGGCUGGGGGGGCCUCCGGCUGGAGGGAGGAAAGGGAUAGGGCUGGGGGCUGCAGAGUCAUUUGUAGGCUGAAGGAGGGGAGGUCCGGGGACGGCUGCCCAGGGGCCUGUCCUCUGUGACGGAGGAGGGGAGUGGAGAGCCAAGGGGCUGCCGGGGGUCCUGAGGUUGGGGUCUCCACAGAAGGCCCUGGGAGAAGGAAGCCUUGACGAUCAGAGAAGGGCAGUGGUGCGGAGGGACGACCAGGCUGUUCUGAGCUCACGCCAUGUGCUCAUGCCCAAGGGGCCGUGGGCCUGUCCAGAAGCUUAUUGGCACCUUCCUGGAGGUGUUCCUGUCCUGGUCCAGGGCAGCCCGUCAUCCCCAGAAGGCAGAGCCGCUCCCAGAGGCUUCCCACGGCCUCCAGAUGCUUCCCUCCUGCACCACUGGCUGCCAGUCCCCAGCUCGGCACACAGCAGGGCCUGGACACCACCGGCCUGUGUGCUUCCAUGCUCUCCCACAUUUCCAAGCACCCCCCGUAACUCCCUGUGCCCCCUCUGGGUUGCAGGACUGGGGCUGCUGUCUGGGCUCCGUCACUGUGGUCAGGACCAGGAACGAGGGGAGGCUGAGUUCCAUGGCGCUUUGUUAAAGCCAACUCGGUACAAAUCGCUCCAUGGAAAGAUGUAGACUCUGACCCACUGGCCGCCCCCUUAAGGCUCAGUGGUCAGGGACUGUCACAAUCCUGUGACAGAGUCUGAUGCCGCCAUUAAAAAUGAUGUGUAUGGGGGGCACCUGGGUGGCUCAAUGGGUUAAGCCUCUGGCUUUGGCUCAGGUCAUGAUCUCAGGGUCGUGAGAUCGAGCCCCGCCUUGGGCUCUGUACUCGGCGGGGAGUCUGCUUGAGGUUCUCUCCCCUUGGCCUCUCCCCCGGCUCACGUGCUCUCUAAAUAAGUAAGUAAAUAAAUUAAUAAGUAAAUAUUUUUUUAAAAUAAUGUUUAUGGGGAAUUAUAAUGACAUAGGAAAUGUUUUCAGUUUUAAGCGAAAACCAAGAUAUGAAAAGCUAUAGGCAUAUGUAUGAUUUAAUAAAAAGAAAAAAGAAAAAAAAAACCAUGUGCUGUGAGCUUGACUUCAUUGAAUAAUUACAGGAAAAAACCUGAAAGAAAACUCAAAAAUGCUAACCCUGUUAUUGGGACUGGGAGUGGCGGAGAUGUUUUCAGUGCUUUGUCCUUUAUCGUUAUUUCCAAGUUUGUACAAUAAACACGUUCAAAUGUUAAAGUCGUUUGAGAUGAAGGCGCGGCACGGAUCCCGGCUUUGAGAAGGAGUCCACGUCUCUGGAAAAUCUUCUUGCGUGAACGUGUAAGAUCUUGGAGUGUAUUUAUACAUUUUUCAGCUGGAGGUAGAGCAUGGAUCCAUUAGGAAGGCGUGUUGACUGCAAAUGAUGGAAAGCCCCAUAACAUUGGGAGGGUUACUUCCCCUGCCCCUCCCCCACCGGU